CUGAAACUGUUCUACCUGCAUACAUAAAAUAAUACAUUUUUCAGGAGUAGAAAGGAAGAUGGCAGAGGAAAAGAAGUAAGCUCUUGCUCAGUAGUUAGAACAUUCACCUAGAAUGUGUGACAGUCUAGUUCAAAGCCCUAAUCCCAAAUGUGAUGAAAUAGAGAUUAUUUGAACCUGUUUCUCACAUAGCGAGCUUCCCCUAAUGGCAAGCUCUUGGAUAUUCUGGUGUGGUCUCUUCCUUUCCUAGCAGAAUUUUUGUUAUGGAGCCACAAUGCCUUACUCAAGGAUAAUUUUAUAAAACUCGGCAUGUUGGGUAAGAUUUGGGUGGCAAAACAGCAUUUCCAAUUAAAACUGUUUUUGGCAGAAAUUCCUAGCAAGUUCUAGAGAGGAGCUUGUGGGGAAGACCAAUACAGGAGUUGGGUGAGGGAAAAGGAUUGGAACAGGGUUAGAGGGAACAAAGGUAAAAGGAGUCAGAUUGGGUACAGGUUGAAGGGGAAUUCAGCCUUUAAAAGACACAUCACUAUGGUAUCUGGCAUUGAACUCAGGAGUUCUGAGUCUCAGCAUUUCCUUGUUGUCAUCAAACAUCUGUGAAACUCACAAAAUGUGUGUCUAAAAAAACUCUAAUAGCACAAAUACAGGAGAAGUUACUGUUGAUUAAUAAUAAUAAUAAUUCUGUCAGCCAUAGUAGCAGAGGUCUGUGUGGAUCUAAGGGUACCAAUACUGCUGGUAAGGGGUGAGUGGGGUCAAGGCGGUCCCAUAUGAUAGAAUUUGUGUUGUGUUUACUCUUUUUAAAAUACUUUUUUAAAGAGACUGUACAUUAAAUAGCUGCAUUAAAAUUCACUUAAACCAGA